rnacentral:rRNA from 1 species
GGUGAAUACGUUCCCGGGCCUUGUACACACCGCCCGUCACACCCAUGAGAGUUUGUAACACCCAAAGCCGGUGGGGUAACCGCAAGGAGCCAGCCGU